AUCCUGGCUCAGGACGAACGCUGGCGGCGUGCCUAAUACAUGCAAGUCGAGCGAACAGAAGGGAGCUUGCUCCCGGAUGUUAGCGGCGGACGGGUGAGUAACACGUGGGUAACCUGCCUGUAAGACUGGGAUAACUCCGGGAAACCGGAGCUAAUACCGGAUAGUUCCUUGAACCGCAUGGUUCAAGGAUGAAAGACGGUUUCGGCUGUCACUUACAGAUGGACCCGCGGCGCAUUAGCUAGUUGGUGGGGUAAUGGCUCACCAAGGCGACGAUGCGUAGCCGACCUGAGAGGGUGAUCGGCCACACUGGGACUGAGACACGGCCCAGACUCCUACGGGAGGCAGCAGUAGGGAAUCUUCCGCAAUGGACGAAAGUCUGACGGAGCAACGCCGCGUGAGUGAUGAAGGUUUUCGGAUCGUAAAGCUCUGUUGUUAGGGAAGAACAAGUGCGAGAGUAACUGCUCGCACCUUGACGGUACCUAACCAGAAAGCCACGGCUAAC
rnacentral:rRNA from 1 species